GGACCUCGGAUCAAGUAGGGAUACCCGCUGAACUUAAGCAUAUCAAUAA
rnacentral:rRNA from 1 species